GGAAGCCUGAGGGAGCCUAGCACACGGUGUGGUUGAUGAUGGCUUUUUUUCUUCCAAGAUGAACAAAAUAAAAACCCCAGCCAAGGUUUUCCUGAAGACGGGCUUAUCUCCCGCAUUGAUGGGCAACAUUUCCCUGCCAAGGUAGAAUUCCAUUACCAAACAGCAAGCUUACGAACGCAGCUGAAGGUCGGCACCCCUGCUGCCAGGAUCCGUGGAUGCUUGGCACAGCUAGGCACAUCUGCUCCGUGGAUCUCAUUGGGUCCAAUACUGCGGUCUACAGCUUCCUCCUGCAUUUCCUUUGCUAAAGAUUUAUCAUGGAAACACAAAAAUGGCUCUGUCCAUGAGAAUAUUUCCAGAGAGGUUUGACUGAGGAGGGAAGAACACACCCUGAAUGUUGUGGCAGUAUCCUGUGGGCUGGGGUCCUGGACCAAAUAAAAGGAGAAGAUGAACUGAACAUCAACAUCCAUGUUUCUCUGCUUCUGGACUGUGGGUACCACUUGACCAGCUGCCUCACACUCCACCUGGAGCCUUUCCUACCACCCGUGAAGUCCUUUCUGUGAUGAUCCCUAGACUGUGCACCAGAAUAAACAUGCCAUUCCUUACAUGGCUUUUAACAGGCAACUAGAAAAGUACCUACAAUGAUCAAACAGACUCGGAACCCAUCCUGUGUGCCAAACAUCCCAGGUCUCCAAGAAGAGAACUCCAGAACCCCAGUGCAAGCUGCGAGGGAAAGCAAGUCUCUUUCGUGUUGCUCAUCACUGAUGACAGUCUGUCUUCACUAGCUUGAUGCCCAGGGUCAGUUUAAAUCCUUGGAUGUGCCAAGAGCCCCAUCUGUUCCUCCAUCUGAAAUGGGAAUAUUUUGCUCUUUUUAUAUUUUUUUUAAAUCUUGAUUUGGUCUUUUGGUGUUUGUGCUGCAGGCUUCAGCUCAGAGGCCAAUUAUGAACAAAUGUAUUAAGCAAUAUUAGGAAAUGAGUGAACAGGUCCAUGGAAAGAAUAUAGGAGGGGGGGUGAAUUAAGUCUCUAUGUGACAUCCAGUCCAGAUGACUCAAGGAAAACACAGGGGAGCCUGAGCGACUUCAGCAGACACAGGGCUCUGGCUCCAUGUCUCAGUGUUAAGGGCAAGCAGACCCUGAGAGAUGUGACAAAAACACCUUGAGGAGACAGUUGAAAGUGCAGCUGUUGCCAUGGAAUCACUACCGUUUAUUCCUAUGCUCAUCUUUUAUAUUUGCUCAUCUGAGAAGAUAGGCCAACUGUAACACAUCUCUGGAAUCUCACUCUUCAGCAAAGAAAGCUACAUCUCUCCUGUGGAUGGAUGAAGCCAUCGGGGUUAGGGAUGGGGGUCAAGGACCAAUGGUGCUGUUUCAGAAGGUUCUAGAACCUUGAGGUGCAACCUUGAGGGAAGAAAUGUGUCACUUGGAUCUGGCUUUGAUAGUUCAUAGCCUCGCAUCACUUUUAGUCCACUCUGUCUACUUCCUGUGUGGGUAUGCUUAAGAUGGGAUCUCUCAGCUUCCUCCCUCUGCAGCCGUGUCUCCCCAUCUUUAUAAAUUUCUCAAAUUGUCUUUGUCAUGAUGAUCCAGAUCUAUUCUAAGGGAAGAAUUUCCUCAGUCAUCAGUUUCAACUUUCACCUUCAUUUAAAGUUACAGUGAAUUAAAAGAAUAAUGAUAGAAUUCUUUCUUGAGAGGGAAGAAAUGCUUACGAAUGUUGUGGUUUUUAGUGUUUUUAGGAAAUCAGGGGACUGUGUCUUUGAAUUCAUUGGCCAGGUAAGAACAAGGAUGACCUUGUAAUGUCCAGUGUCCUGUCACAGGAUCAAGACAGAAGACAAGGGUAGAGAUGAUCAUCUCAGUGUGGUGGCAGAGCUCAGAAGUCCCUAGUUGGGAAGUGUCACCAGUGGGAGUGGCUUCGCUAUGGGAUAGCACUCCAUCAAACAUCCCAGUCUUGCCCUUCAAGGGUGGACAGACACACAGCUGGGGUUCCCCAGCCCCCCACUUGUCAUGUCUCUCACUAGGAAGGGUCACCUCUGUUUCACUUUUUCUGGCAGAGCAAAGCCAGGGCUGGCUACUUUGGGUCACGGCUACUUUGGGUGACGCUUUGCUUUUUAACCCCCAAACACUUCCUAUGAGUCCCCUCUUCUGCCGACCUCUAGCCUCUCCUUAAGCUUUGUUUGUUCAGCACAGUGGGGCUUAUUCUGUGCGGAAGGAAUCCUUUUGCCUUUACAGAUGGAGGAAAUCUGAAAGCCUCAUGGACCCCACAGAGAAUUUCCUUGGAGAAAUCACCAGCUUUGUUCCCAACAGCAGGUGGCAGUGUUGCUGUAGGAAAACCCCCGCGGCUUCCAGGGCCUGGGCCAGCCCUGAGAUAUUUUUACCCGAAAGAGAAAAGGCCCAAUAUGAAACAAAAACUUGGCAGAAGAAAUUCCGAGAAGAAUGCAAAGCCCCUAAAAGACUGUAAAUUACCAGCCUGUCCUUCCUCACUGAGCCCCAGCUUCACCAGCCCCAGCUUCGCCAGCCCUGCCACCCCCCCACUCCAGGCCUUUUGGAAGAGGCAAUCAUCCGAUGGUCCAUAGCUGCUAAUGACCUCUCCACCCUGGCAGCACAAUUCUGCCCCUUCCCACUAGGCUAGGAAUGCUGUUCCCAACCAGAAGGAUGUGAAGGAGCUGGGACCAAAUGCCCUCUUGUCUCCUGGACUGUAGGCCUCAGGGGAGCAAAGGGGAUUUUGCUUUUGUGAGCUCUCAGCCAGAACUCCUGGCUCAGAUCUCCUGAGGCUAACUUCAGCAAGAAGUGCCUGUGCUAAAUCUCACAGAAUUACUGGCUGAGUUCAGGGACUAUUCAGGUGUGAGCAAUGGAGCCAAGUGGCAAAGCUGGUUUUUGUCACCACCCCCAUGUGGCUUGCAAAGCUCAGUCAGGUAUAGAUCGAUGCCUGGGAUCCAUAGCAACAGUAUUGGAGGCUCCUCUCAGGUGUCUGUUUAAAGCACUAGUGUGUGUGUGUGCGUGUGUGUGUGUGUGUGUGUGUGUGUGUGUGUGUGUGUGUGUGUGUGUGUGUGUG
rnacentral:lncRNA from 1 species